rnacentral:rRNA from 1 species
UACGAAGGGGGCUAGCGUUGCUCGGAAUCACUGGGCGUAAAGCGCACGUAGGCGGCUUCUUAAGUCAGGUGUGAAAUCCUGGAGCUCAACUCCAGAACUGCCUUUGAUACUGAGAAGCUUGAGUCCGGGAGAGGUGAGUGGAACUGCGAGUGUAGAGGUGAAAUUCGUAGAUAUUCGCAAGAACACCAGUGGCGAAGGCGGCUCACUGGCCCGGUACUGACGCUGAGGUGCGAAAGCGUGGGGAGCAAACAGG